ACAGUUACAGUUUUUAUCCAUCUUUUACCCCGUAUUAACACUGCGGCUGAUGAGGGCUGUUAAACCAACCAUCAGCCUCGCUGUCAAUACGAGGUAAGGGCUGACAGACUUCCAAAGCCAAUC
rnacentral:precursor_RNA from 8 species